UAAUGCGUGUAAUAAGUACUGU
rnacentral:miRNA from 1 species